UACGUAGGGUGCAAGCGUUGUCCGGAAUUAUUGGGCGUAAAGAGCUCGUAGGCGGUUUGUCGCGUCGGCUGUGAAAACUCGGGGCUACCAACCCGAGCCUGCAGUCGAUACGGGCAGACUAGAGUGCUGUAGGGGAGACUGGAAUUCCUGGUGUAGCGGUGAAAUGCGCAGAUAUCAGGAGGAACACCAGUGGCGAAGGCGGCUCACUGGACCGGUACUGACGCUGAGGCGCGAAAGCGUGGGGAGCAAACAGG
rnacentral:rRNA from 1 species